rnacentral:rRNA from 1 species
AACGAACGCUGGCGGCAGGCUUAACACAUGCAAGUCGAACGCCCCGCAAGGGGAGUGGCAGACGGGUGAGUAACGCGUGGAAAUCUACCCAGUUCUACGGAAUAACCCAGGGAAACUUGGACUAAUACCGUAUACGCCCUACGGGGGAAAGAUUUAUCGGAAUUGGAUGAGCCCGCGUUGGAUUAGCUAGUUGGUGGGGUAAUGGCCUACCAAGGCGACGAUCCAUAGCUGGUCUGAGAGGAUGAUCAGCCACACUGGGACUGAGACACGGCCCAGACUCCUACGGGAGGCAGCAGUGGGGAAUAUUGGACAAUGGGCGCAAGCCUGAUCCAGCCAUGCCGCGUGAGUGAUGAAGGCCUUAGGGUUGUAAAGCUCUUUCAGUGGGGAAGAUAAUGACGGUACCCACAGAAGAAGCCCCGGCUAACUUCGUGCCAGCCGCCGCGGUAACAC